rnacentral:rRNA from 1 species
GAUGAACGCUGGCGGCGUGCCUAAUACAUGCAAGUCGAGCGAACAGACGAGGCGCUUGCUCCUCUGACGUUAGCGGCGGACGGGUGAGUAACACGUGGAUAACCUACCUAUAAGACUGGGAUAACUUCGGGAAACCGGAGCUAAUACCGGAUAACAUGUUGAACCGCAUGGUUCAACAGUGAAAGACGGUCUUGCUGUCACUUAUAGAUGGAUCCGCGCCGCAUUAGCUAGUUGGUAAGGUAACGGCCUACCAAGGCAACUAUGCGUAGCCGACCUGAGAGGGUGAUCGGCCACACUGGAACUGAGCCGCGGUCCUGACUCCUACGGGAGGCAGCAGUAGGGAAUCUUCCGCAAUGGGCGAAAGCCUGACGGAGCAGCGCCACGUGAGUGAAGACGGUCUUCGGAUCGUAAAACUCUGUUAUUAGUGAAGAACAAAUUUGUAAGUAACUAUGCACGUCUUGACGGUACCUAAUCAGAAAGCCCCGGCUAACUACGUG